rnacentral:rRNA from 1 species
UGGCGGGGUGCCUAAUACUGCAAGUCGAGCGGACAGAAGGGAGCUUGCUCCCGGAUGUUAGCGGCGGACGGGUGAGUAACACGUGGGUAACCUGCCUGUAAGACUGGGAUAACUCCGGGAAACCGGAGCUAAUACCGGAUAGUUCCUUGAACCGCAUGGUUCAAGGAUGAAAGACGGUUUCGGCUGUCACUUACAGAUGGACCCGCGGCGCAUUAGCUAGUUGGUGAGGUAACGGCUCACCAAGGCGACGAUGCGUAGCCGACCUGAGAGGGUGAUCGGCCACACUGGGACUGAGACACGGCCCAGACUCCUACGGGAGGCAGCAGUGGGGAAUCUUCCGCAAUGGACGAAAGUCUGACGGAGCAACGCCGCGUGAGUGAUGAAGGUUUUCGGAUCGUAAAGCUCUGUUGUUAGGGAAGAACAAGUGCAAGAGUAACUGCUUGCACCUUGACGGUACCUAACCAGAAAGCCACGGCUAACUACGUGCCAGCAGCCGCGGUAAUACGUAGGUGGCAGCGUUGUCCGGAAUUAUUGGGCGUAAGGGCUCGCAGGCGGUUUCUUAAGUCUGAUGUGAAAGCCCCCGGCUCAACCGGGGAGGGUCAUUGGAAACUGGGAAACUUGAGUGCAGAAGAGGAGAGUGGAAUUCCACGUGUAGCGGUGAAAUGCGUAGAGAUGUGGAGGAACACCAGUGGCGAAGGCGACUCUCUGGUCUGUAACUGACGCUGAGGAGCGAAAGCGUGGGGAGCGAACAGGAUUAGAUACCCUGGUAGUCCACGCCGUAAACGAUGAGUGCUAAGUGUUAGGGGGUUUCCGCCCCUUAGUGCUGCAGCUAACGCAUUAAGCACUCCGCCUGGGGAGUACGGUCGCAAGACUGAAACUCAAAGGAAUUGACGGGGGCCCGCACAAGCGGUGGAGCAUGUGGUUUAAUUCGAAGCAACGCGAAGAACCUUUACCAGGGUCUUGACAUCCCUCUGACAACCCUAGAGGAGGGGGCUUUCCCUUCGGGGACAGAGUGACAGGUGGUGCAUGGUUGUCGUCAGCUCGCGUCGUGAGAUGUUGGGUUAAGUCCCGCAACGAGCGCAACCCUUGAUCUUAGUUGCCAGCAUUCAGUUGGGCACUCUAAGGUGACUGCCGGUGACAAACCGGAGGUAGG